AUCAACUUCACAUGUGACCAUUUU
rnacentral:snRNA from 1 species